rnacentral:ncRNA from 1 species
AAGUUUGGCUCUGACUUGAUAAUAUGGCAGGAACUCAGAAAUACACAUGGUUUUUAUAGAGAGAGGCGAGGUAAGAGAUAGUAUGCUUAUAACAAAAAGUUAUAAAGUAAUAUCUUUUUAGGUAUUAUUAAAUUUCAUGAUGCCUUGAAAAGUCCCGCUAACACCAGUGCUGAAGGUUAAGAAAAAGACGAAAGUCUGUCUUAACUUAGUUCAUAAGAUUUGGUCAAUUUGGUGCCAGCAUCCGCGGUUAUACCAAGAAAUCAAGUUAUGUCGUUUGGUAAAAAGACGGUUAGAUAUUAAUUUUUUUGUCUAUUAAUUAUUUAUAUAAAGGUAGAAUUUGAAUAUAAAUAUAUAAACUAUACAUGACUUAAAAAAUUGAGUCCGUGAAAGCCUUGAGGGAAACUGGGAUUAGAUACCCCAUUAUUCUUGGCUAUAAAAUUAAGAAAAUUUACCAGAGUACUACGAACUUAGUAAAAUUUAAAACUCAAAGGGCUUGGCGGUGUUUUAGACCACUCAGGGGAACCUGUCUCGUAAUCGAUAAUCCACGGUAGACCUAACCCUGUUUUGCACUCAGUUUGUAUACCGUUGUCGUCAGGUAACUUUCAAAAAAUAAGAAGUUAGCGACUAAAAUAACUAUAUAAAUUAAGACGUCAAAUCAAGGUGCAGCUUACAGCAGGGGGAGGAUGGGUUACAAUUAUAGAUUUAUAAAGACGGAGAACACAUCGAACAGUGUAUUUGAAGGAGGACUUGAAAGUAAAAUAAAAUACAUAAACAAUUUGAAUAGGGCUCUGAAACGUGCACACAUCGCCCGUCACUCUCGUUGAAAAAUGAGAUAAGUCGUAACAUAGCAGGGGUAAUGGAAAUUGUUCCUAGAUGA